rnacentral:rRNA from 1 species
UACCAGCACCCCGAGUGGUCGGGACGAUUAUUGGGCCUAAAGCAUCCGUAGCCGGUCCUACAAGUCUUCCGUUAAAUCCACCUACUCAACAGAUGGGCUGCGGAAGAUACUAUAGGGCUAGGAGGCGGGAGAGGCAAGCGGUACUCAGUGGGUAGGGGUAAAAUCCUCUGAUCCAUUGAAGACCACCAGUGGCGAAGGCGGCUUGCCAGAACGCGCUCGACGGUGAGGGAUGAAAGCUGGGGGAGCAAACCGG